rnacentral:rRNA from 1 species
GACGAACGCUGGCGGCGUGCUUAACACAUGCAAGUCGAACGAAGAGCGACGGAAGCUUGCUUCUAUCAAUCUUAGUGGCGAACGGGUGAGUAACGCGUAAUCAACCUGCCCUUCAGAGGGGGACAACAGUUGGAAACGACUGCUAAUACCGCAUACGAUCUAACCUCGGCAUCGAGGAUAGAUGAAAGGUGGCCCCUACAUGUAAGCUAUCACUGCAGGAGGGGAUUGCGUCUGAUUAGCUAGUUGGAGGGGUAAAGGCCCACCAAGGCGAUGAUCAGUAGCCGGACUGAGAGGAUGAACGGCCACAUUGGGACUGAGACACGGCCCAGACUCCUACGGGAGGCAGCAGUGGGGAAUCUUCCGCAAUGGACGAAAGUCUGACGGAGCAACGCCGCGUGAGUGAUGAAGGCCUUCGGGUUGUAAAGCUCUGUUAAUCGGGACGAAAGGCCUUCUUGCGAAUAGUGAGAAGGAUUGACGGUACCGGAAUAGAAAGCCACGGCUAACUACGUG